UGCUUGUAUCUCAGCGAGCAAAUCAAGAAAUGCGGACCAUUGGCCACUCAUAAGCCAAUCAGACAUCCUCGGCAGUAUUUCCCCAUCACCACAGUGACGAUAGUAGAUGUGGUUAGUCAGCCCAGGAGAACACCCUGCUAACAACCCCGCAAGAUGCCACACUGAUAGCAUCGAGAGCUGAGUUAGAGUCAGGAUCCGUCAAAAGGAGAAGCCCUUCCGUGCCGGUGGCAGGGAACAGAGAAGAAAACUAUCUGCCUGAUACAAGGACGUUGGAAGUCCCUGUUCCUGAACUUAUUUAAGGAAAAGCGCCUUUGUUCAAAUGAAGCCAUGGGGCUUCUUGAAGUAGCUGUGCACCCAUCUACCUGGAAAUUCGGGAGAGUGGGGACGUCUCCUCAGAUGCCCCUGGGAAUAUAUGCAGGCUUUGUCAGAUCAUGCUGCAUUAUUGCUUUUUCUGCAUUCUUAUAUUUUUAUGAAUGAUUCUAAUUCCCUGAUCUGGAAUAUUAAGGGAUUCACUCUCCCUUAAUACACACCUCUAUUUUCCCUGUUUUGUUUCCAAUAAAGCAAUGACU